AUUCAAGUAUUUUAAUAAAAAAUUUUGUUUUGUGGUAACAAAGAUAUCUAUGGAUCUUGAGUU
rnacentral:tRNA from 1 species